rnacentral:snRNA from 1 species
CGCAAAUGCGGAUAUAAAG